rnacentral:rRNA from 1 species
GCUGGCGGCGUGCCUAACACAUGCAAGUCGAGCGGGGACAUUGCGACAGAUAUGAAGUUUUCGGAUGGAUUUGAAGAUGUAAUGUUCUAGCGGCGGACGGGUGAGUAACGCGUGAGCAACCUGUCCCUUACGAGGGGGAUAACACAGCGAAAGUUGUACUAAUACCGCAUAAGACCACAGGAUGACAUCAUCCAGGGGUCAAAGGAGCAAUCCGGUAAGGGGUGGGCUCGCGUCCGAUUAGAUAGUUGGUGAGGUAACGGCCCACCAAGUCGACGAUCGGUAGCCGACCUGAGAGGGUGAUCGGCCACAUUGGGACUGAGACACGGCCCAAACUCC